rnacentral:rRNA from 1 species
UACGUAGGGGGCAAGCGUUGUCCGGAUUUAUUGGGCGUAAAGAGCGUGUAGGCGGCCAUGCAGGUCCGUUGUGAAAACUCGAGGCUCAACCUCGAGACGCCGAUGGAAACCGCAUGGCUAGAGUCCGGAAGAGGAGAGUGGAAUUCCUGGUGUAGCGGUGAAAUGCGCAGAUAUCAGGAAGAACACCCGUGGCUAAGGCGGCUCUCUAGUACGGUACUGACGCUGAGACGCGAAAGCGGGGGGAGCGAACAGG